AUUUAUAUAAUACCAUAAGUAUAUUUAAUUUCCAAUUAAAAAGUUUAAGUUUUUAAUAUAAAUA
rnacentral:tRNA from 1 species